rnacentral:rRNA from 1 species
GACGAACGCUGGCGGCGUGCUUAACACAUGCAAGUCGAACGGAAAGGCCCUGCUUGCAGGGUGCUCGAGUGGCGAACGGGUGAGUAACACGUGGGUGAUCUGCCCCUUACUUUGGGAUAAGCCUGGGAAACUGGGUCUAAUACUGGAUAGGACCAUGCUGUAGGUGGUGUGGUGGAAAGAUUAGUUUCGGUGAGGGAUGAGCUCGCGGCCUAUCAGCUUGUUGGUGGGGUAAUGGCCUACCAAGGCGUCGACGGGUAGCCGGCCUGAGAGGGUGGACGGCCACAUUGGGACUGAGAUACGGCCCAGACUCCUACGGGAGGCAGCAGUGGGGAAUAUUGCACAAUGGGCGCAAGCCUGAUGCAGCGACGCCGCGUGGGGGAUGACGGCCUUCGGGUUGUAAACUCCUUUCAGCCAUGACGAAGCCCUUGUGGUGACGGUAGUGGUAGAAGAAGCACCGGCUAACUACGUG